GAGCGGCGUACGGGUGCGGAACACGUGUGCAACCUGCCUUUAUCUGGGGGAUAGCCUUUCGAAAGGGAGAUUAAUACCCCAUAAUAUAUUGAUUUGCAUGAAUUGAUAUUGAAAACUCCGGUGGAUAGAGAUGGGCACGCGCAAGAUUAGAUAGUUGGUGAGGUAACGGCUCACCAAGUCGAUGAUCUUUAGGGGGCCUGAGAGGGUGAUCCCCCACACUGGUGCUGAGACACGGACCAGACUCCUACGGGAGGCAGCAGUGAGGAAUAUUGGACAAUGGGUGAGAGCCUGAUCCAGCCAUCCCGCGUGAAGGAUUAAGGACCUAUGGUUUGUAAACUUCUUUUUUACAGGGAUAAACCUAGAUACGUGUAUCUAGCUGAAGGUACUGUAAGAAUAAGCACCGGCUAACUCCGUGCCAGCAGCCGCGGUAAUACGGAGGGUGCAAGCGUUAUCCGGAUUUAUUGGGUUUAAAGGGUCCGUAGGCGGAUCGGUAAGUCAGUGGUGAAAUCUCAUAGCUUAACUAUGAAACUGCCAUUGAUACUGUCGGUCUUGAGUGUAUUUGAAGUAGCUGGAAUGAGUAGUGUAGCGGUGAAAUGCAUAGAUAUUACUCAGAACACCAAUUGCGAAGGCAGGUCACUAAGAUACAACUGACGCUGAUGGACGAAAGCGUGGGGAGCGAACAGGAUUAGAU
rnacentral:rRNA from 1 species